rnacentral:rRNA from 1 species
AACGAACGCUGGCGGCAUGCCUAACACAUGCAAGUCGAACGAACCCUUCGGGUCUAGUGGCGCACGGGUGCGUAACGCGUGGGAACCUGCCCUUAGGUACGGCAUAACUCUAAGAAAGGGGUGCUAAUACCGGAUAAUGUCUUCGGACCAAAGAUUUAUCGCCCCUGGAUGGGCCCGCGUUGGAUUAGCUAGUUGGUAAGGUAAGAGCUUACCAAGGCGACGAUCCAUAGCUGGUCUGAGUGGGUGAUCAGCCACACGGGGAGUGAGACACGGCCGAGACACGGACAGGAGGAAGCAGUAGGGAAGCUUCCGGAAGGGAGGAGAGCGUGACGGAGCAACGCGGCGUGAGUGAUGAAGGUCUUAGGAUCGGAGAAUUAUGUUAUUAGGGAGGAAGAUAUGUGUAAGUAACUGGGCACAUCUUGACGGUACCUAAUCAGAAAGCCACGGCUAAGUACGUG